CCUCGGUUAGCUCAGUUGGUUGAGCAUGGUGCUAACGACACCAAGGCCGCGGGUUCGAUUCCCAUGAGGU
rnacentral:tRNA from 1 species